UACAGAGGUCCCAAGCGUUGUUCGGAUUCAUUGGGCGUAAAGGGUGCGUAGGCGGCGCGGUAAGUCGGGGUGUGAAAGUCAAGGGCUCAACCCUUGAAUGCCGGUGGAUACUGCAGGGCUAGAGUCCGGAAGAGGCGAGUGGAAUUCCUGGUGUAGCGGUGAAAUGCGCAGAUAUCAGGAGGAACACCGAUGGCGAAGGCAGCUCGCUGGGGACGGUACUGACGCUGAGGCGCGAAAGCGUGGGGAGCAAACAGG
rnacentral:rRNA from 1 species